ACCAUAUUCAAGAUUCCCAUUGUGGCUGUUGAUCUACUGACCCUCUUGUACUGCACUCACUCAUCUUGCAAUGAAGGGAGAAGAUAAAAUGUCUAUGUGAUGAGAUGCAGUGACGUGUAUGACUAGGCACUCGGACUAGUGUUGGCCUACUAGUGACCUUCCGACCAUAGGUUAAAAGGUGAUCAUCCCCUUCUCCAUUGCAGUUGACCACAGGCCACCAUCGUCCUAAAACCUAACUCCAAAGAAAGGAUACUUGCUGGGCAAAAGUUACUAGAGAGGAUGUCAGGAAUAUAUACAUAAAAUGAAAUGGUCAAUUUUCUUUAGACCAGUGUCAGGGCACUUGGAAAAAUUCUGGGACCUUGAAUGGAAGGAAUCAUUCCUUUAACGGUCAUGGAAAUGGUGGGCAGACUGAUCACUGGGCAUAAUUAUCUGAGGUAGCCCCCAAACCAUUUCCUACUCCAAUUGGUCUGAGGGAUUAUAAAGAAUACAAUAGUAAUAGAACUAAAAAUGUUCAGUUAUUUUCUGUCAUGGUGCAAUACAGGCCCCCUCCCCAUUGUGCAGCAUUUUCCUUACUUUCUAGAAGAUGAAGAGAAUUGUUGCGCAAGUCUAUAGAAGCACAGUAAAUUUUCUACCAGUCUGAUUAAACUGCUACUACCAGGUAGGAAAAACCUUGUGCAGAGAAAAAUCAAACAGUUUAAGGCUCAUCUUAUGCCAAAGGAUUCUGUAUAUUAAGCUUGAAUGUCCCCCCCCCCCCAUCUGUUUCCUCUGCCCUUCUAUAGAAACCUCGGGCUAUUCCCUGAAUAUUUGAUUCUUUUAUAGUUACUCCUUACCCAUUUAUUGUGUUUCUAAUACAAGAUUUUUAAACCCUGCAGUUUCAUUUUCUGUCUACUA